UACGUAGGUGGCAAGCGUUGUCCGGAUUUAUUGGGCGUAAAGAGCUCGUAGGCGGUUUGGCAAGUCGGGUGUGAAAACUCCGGGCUCAACUCGGAGACGCCACUCGAUACUGCCAUGACUCGAGUCCGGUAGGGGAGUGCGGAAUUCCUGGUGUAGCGGUGAAAUGCGCAGAUAUCAGGAGGAACACCGGUGGCGAAGGCGGCACUCUGGGCCGGUACUGACGCUGAGGAGCGAAAGCGUGGGGAGCGAACAGG
rnacentral:rRNA from 1 species